AUUGAACGCUGGCGGCAGGCGUAACACAUGCAAGUCGAGCGAGCGGCGGACGGGUGAGUAAUGUCUGGGAAACUGCCUGCUGGAGGGGGAUAACUACUGGAAACGGUAGCUAAUACCGCAUACCAUCAGAUGUGCCCACAUGGGAUUAGCUAGUAGGUGGGGUAAUGGCUCAACUAGGCGACGAUCCCUAGCUGGUCUGCGAGGAUGACCAGGCACACUGGAACUGAGACACGGUCCAGACUCCGACGGGAGGAAGCAGUGGGGAAUAUUGCACAAUGGGCGCAAGCCUGAUGCAGCCAUGCCGCGUGUAUGAAGAAGGCCUUCGGGUUGUAAAGUACUUUCAGCGGGGAGGCGUUACCCGCAGAAGAAGCACCGGCUAACUCCGUGCCAGCAGCCGCGGUAAUUC
rnacentral:rRNA from 1 species